AACGAACGCUGGCGGCAUGCCUAACACAUGCAAGUCGAACGAGACCUUCGGGUCUAGUGGCGCACGGGUGCGUAACGCGUGGGAACCUGCCCUUAGGUUCGGAAUAACUCCCUGAAAGGGGUGCUAAUACCGGAUAAUGUCUUCGGACCAAAGAUUUAUCGCCUUUGGAUGGGCCCGCGUUGGAUUAGCUAGUUGGUAGGGUAAAAGCCUAUCAAGGCGACGAUACAUAGCUGGUCUGAGAGAAUGAUCAGCCACACUGGGAGUGAGACACGGCCCAGACUCCUACGGAAGGGAGCAGUGGGGAAUAUUGUACAAUGGGCGAAAGCCUGAACCAGCAAUGCCGGGUAAGUGAUGAAGGCCUUAGGGUUGUGAAGCUCUUUUACACGGGAUGAUAAUGACAGUACCGGGAGAAUAAGCUCCGGCUAACUCCGUG
rnacentral:rRNA from 1 species